rnacentral:sRNA from 1 species
CUUUUUGUUGAACAGUAUGACAUGACACAAAAUUUAAUUAGAAAUGGUAAGGGAUUGGGAUUCCUCCAUCGUCUUCAUCACCCUCCAUCGUUUUCAUGACCCUUCACUGUCAAUUCCAGAUUGGGAUUCCGGCCUAGGGCGGUGGCUCCGUCGAAUUCCGCCAUCGACCGGAAUUUGUAUCUAAACCCGCGUUUGCAGUUGCGAUUUUAAUCUUAUAAAUUAAAUUUAUAAAUCAAUUGGACCAAAAAUCACAAACAAAGAUGCAAAACAGAUCACCAGAAACGAAAGGGCAGAAGAAUAAAAGAGAACCCUACUUCAAUAAAAUCAAGCAUCAACACUGAAAAGGAUCAGAUAACUUUGCCAAAAGAAAUUUAAAAGGAAGAAAAUUUAAAAGAAAUUUAAAAGGAAGAAAAUUUAAAAGAAAUUUAAAUCAAGCAUUUACUUCGCCGGCGAUGAAUGUUCUCCCCAUCGGGAACAUCUGCCCCUCUCGGAAGAUCUUGAAGACGAGAUGGGGAUGGUGGCGAAUCGGAGUAGUAGAAGCGAUGUUUUGGGGUGCGACAUGGAGAACAUAAUGCGCGGCGGCAGGAAGGCGGAGUCCACCACGAAAGCUUCCAGAUCUUGAUUCGAAGAUCCACCUUACAGUUGGAGUCCACCACGGAAGCCACUGCCGGAUACUUGCCGACGGGAAUCGUUCCUCUGAUUCCGUCACACGUUACUCGAACUCCCACCUUCUUGCUCUUGAGCCAAUCCAUCUUCAUCAUCACCUUGGUAUCCAUCUGUAUCUCAAUGGGGAAACCAUUCUUCAUCUUCAGACCCGAUCUCAGGUUAGUAACCGAAUCAGUGUCCAGAUCUUGCAAACCGGACAGCAUCGGGCGGAGGCUCAUAUGGUUGUUUUUGUCGGAGGGUUCUCUUUUUGGGGUCUUUUUCAUGAAAAUCCCAUCUUUAUCAUUUUUUUAAUGUCCCAUUAAUGGGUCUCUUCUUUUCUUGUUUCCUUAGAAAACCACGAGCAGUAUUGCAAAUGCGGGUCUCGACAACACUGUCAAUAUCAAUUUCUGCUCUUCGUGUUCUUACAGUGUUAUAUUAAAAUUCAAGUGUCAAUACAAUGGAAGAAGAAAAAAUAGAAAUAACGAGAAG